UCUAUUAUAAACUUUCAAAUAUUAAAAUAACUUUCUGUAAGAAUCCUAAAAUCUGUUAAAAAUAUUACAUUAACACCGCUAUCAAAAUUAAAAAGUCAAUGUUUAUGUUAAUGUUUAUGUACUCCGUGAUGUAUUGGGAAAGGUCACUGACAAUAUAUAAAAAAGGGAAAAGUGAAAGACAUGCAGCUACCAACCACAUCCGGUAUAUAGAUGGAUCGAAGUACGGUAACAGCACGGGAGGGGAUUUUCGACUCAUUGACAAAUUUUGCGGCGAUCUUUUAGAUAGACAUAUUUACCAUUCUCAAGGGGCGCAGGAGAAAACAAGAGAACAGCGUACACAAACAGGGGAAUCCUAAUUGUAUCAGAAAGGCCGCCCUAAGGGAUUUGCGAACCUCAAAGUUACAUUAAGGACAGUAUGGAAAUGUUUAGCAGUCCAAAAAAACCUAUGGUUAAGUGUUAUGCUAACUUAAGCUAAUCACGCAGAGCUGUUUAAAACUAUUGGUCUACCAACAAACUCUUUACACCAGCCUACGGUGCGAGAAGACACCUCCAUGAAGUAAGUGUACUAAGCCUCUCAUGGCUGUAGGUAAUGCUUGUCGUUAUAUUGCCAACUCUGUCAAGUAUUACUUCCUUUUUGAGUCCUAAUCAAGGUUAACAAGGUUAACAGGGUCACAGAAGCCUUUCUCGUGGAAAUUGUAGAUACAAUCUCCCGCAAAGCGAUGCGAAUUUUAAUGAGGAACAUUUUUAAAAGCUGGGGCUUUCAGAUAUAUAUCUCUUUACUUUCCUGAAGAU